CCUUCGCCUUCGCUUUGCCUUCCUUCGCUUGUGUGAAACGUGACGGGCGUUCCACGCAGGCUCAAGCUCAGAAAGCCGUAGUAGUAGUAUUGUCUUCAGUCUCGCCCUCCAUCUCGGUUUUUCCAAACUGGCAGAUGUUUGGAAGGAAGAAGCUGACAAGGUAGCGGAGAGCGGUGGGAUGCGGCAAUGGUUGGUUUACCGGAAGGAGAGAGGGAAGAAUGAAAGGGAUGACCGAGCGGUUGAGGAGGGUGCUUCCGCCAAUGUGAAAGCGGAGCACGAGGAGUAGGAGUGUUGGCGGAUUCUGAGAAUGGAAAAGGUGCAGGAAAAGAGUGCUACGGAAAUGGGAAGAUGAAGCUGAUCCAACGCUUCUCGGGGUGGAUCGUGUGUACAAUGCAGAAGCGUCUUUAGGAGGACGGAGUGUCUUGAUGAUGAGCUGGGCAGUGGUGCUGCCUGUGAAGUUUGGCUUAGAUUUUGUGCACAUUUCUUGGGGGCUCAAUCUGGAGGAAUCCAUACCUCUAAUUAUGGUCCAUGUAAUCAAAAGCCCAUUUUAUGCUUUAGACAUUGCCGAGCCGAGAGGGGAUAGAAACAGUUGGACCAGCUUCAUGUUGCUUUUUCUGUAAUUAUGUGGUAAGAGCAUCUUCUGGUAAAAAUCUCAGAAGACAUUGAAGUUGUACGACCCAAUCUUUAUUAAUGAAGCGAAUGUUUUCGUAUGCUUUCAUAGAUUAUA